CUUGCUUUUUUGCUGACGACCGGCGAACGGGUGCGUAACGCGUAUAGAAUCUGCCUUGUACAGGAGGAUAGCCUUUAGAAAUGAAGAUUAAUACUCCAUAAUGUUGAGAGAUGGCAUCAUCUUUUAAUUAAAGAUUUAUCGGUACAAGAUGACUAUGCGUCCUAUUAGCUAGAUGGUAAGGUAACGGCUUACCAUGGCAACGAUAGGUAGGGGGUCUGAGAGGAUUAUCCCCCACACUGGUACUGAGACACGGACCAGACUCCUACGGGAGGCAGCAGUGAGGAAUAUUGGUCAAUGGAGGCAACUCUG
rnacentral:rRNA from 1 species